rnacentral:rRNA from 1 species
CACGUAGGGGACGAGCGUUGUCCGGAUUCAUUGGGCGUAAAGGGUGCGUAGGCGGCGCGGUAAGUCGGGUGUGAAAUUUCGGAGCUUAACUCCGAAACUGCAUUUGAUACUGGCGUGCUUGAGGACUGGAGAGGAGACUGGAAUUCAUGGUGUAGCAGUGAAAUGCGUAGAGAUCAUGAGGAAGACCAGUGGCGAAGGCGGGUCUCUGGACAGUUCCGUGACGCUGAGGCACGAAGCCAGGGGAGCAAACGGG